rnacentral:lncRNA from 1 species
CGCUCCGGUCGCUUCGGUGUUGGUCUUGCGCGCGCAUCGGUUCGUCGAUAUAGGCCUCGCCCGCCCACGUCGUGAGGUCUUGCGCUACAACGUCGGGCGACAGUGCAAACAAAUGGCGGUGGCGCGCCAUCAAGGCCUCUAGCGAAUCCUCGACGCCGUACCACGUCGAAAACGCGAGUCUGUAGUGAAUGAGAGCGACCGCGCCCCACAUGUCGCUCCCGGCGUCGCAGCACACGACGAGCAUGCGCACGGCUCCGGUUGGCGUCAGACUAUGAUGAGCACCGACGAGAGGCAUCCACGCGCGCACAGAGGGCAUCAGCGCCGGUUGCAUGUCGGAAAAGACGAGCAUGGGAUCAUGGGCAGGCCAUGCCAUCACAAGGCGCGAGGCGUCCGGGUCGAUGAGGUGGACGGCCGCGUCGGGCACACGGAAGCGCGCCACGGAACCCGAUGGCAGGAUGCCCUCGGCGUAGCCGUCAAACUGCAUGACCGACCAGACGUGCGGUUGGGUCGUGUCGACACGCCGCAUGGGCCACGUGAGACCGCCCGCGUUAUCGGGACGACCACGUACGUCCUGGGCGCACACGUCGCAGAUCCAGUCGGCGCCCGAGUCGUCGGGCGUGCCGCGGUCGCAGAUCCACCACGCGCGCCGCGGGAUGGCCCCGUCCGUGCGCGGAUCGGCCGUGUCCCGAUCAUCCACGGGCGUGCACAGGGCACACGUAUAAGCACCGGCGCCUGCAUCGGGCGACCACGUCUCGUCCCACUUUGCCGUGAGCGUCUCCCAUCGAUCGACAAAGGCAUCGACGGCCGAUCGAGCCGCCGCAAUUUCGCGCGUCCUCUGGUCUAGGACUUGCGCGCGGAGGGCUCUGCAAGUGGCGCCCAGGCGAGCGGCGGUGAUGCGAUCACACCCGCGAAAGACAAGACGCCACAACUCGAUGGGCAGGCCAGCCACCACAAACCGAGAGGUCAUGCUUGUAUUCUUUUUUUUUCCCUCUUUUGUUGCUCUGUGUUAAGGCGGCCUCGCUGUGCCCUUUUUUUCGUGCGGGGUCCGUGUGGUUGUGUGUGGUUGUGCGUGGCGCCUGUCUUGUUGUUGGUCGACGAACCAAGAAAAAAGAAAAGAAACAAAAGCCGCGUGAAAAAAGGCCACAAGGCGGAGCGCAGGCAACCCCACGCCAGGACAAAAAAAAAGAAAAAAGAUGCCAAUGGUGCAUCGUCAUUUCCUUUUUUUCUUUUAUUUCGCAG